UAUCCAGUACUCGAAGACGACUAUGACUUAACUUUGAAGUCUGGAUGUAUUUUUUAACUCUUUUUUUUUGGCGUCGAGGAAACCGUUUAUUUAACAUCCCGAUGUUGUGUGCCAGGCGUGUAACUUUUACAGCCGCUGCGUGUUGGGAGGAAAACUUCACACUUGGAGCAGAGAGGCUUCACUUGGUGUCAGUGACAGAAAUGGGGGAAAAAGCUCAAAUCAAUGGAAGGACGAUGAAGGAAACAUCUGUGCUGUGUUUGCUCUACUAGAAAGUCAUCACAGCUGAGUCUGCACAGGACGUCACUCUGUUAUGUCGAACUCCAAACAUCAACUUGAUAGUUAUAGAGUGAAUAAGAGCUGACCUGGAAGAUGAGCGUGUCCUUUAGUACUGAGACAAGCAGCUUGAUCCAGAAGAGCAGCAUCCAUCUUUUAAGCACCGGGUGGAUCUGCAGGACAGACAGAUGAAGGAUGGAGACGUGUCUCUGAUUCUGAAGGAUGUAAAGAUCGAUGACACUGGAAGAUAUUAGUGUCAUGUCAUCCAGAUGCUGACGGAGGCAGUUUGAAGCUCAUCAGCUUCAUCUACCUGAGUGUUGUUGAUCCUCCAGGUCAGACAGGAGGACACACAGAGGAUGGAGGGAAGGAGGAUGGAUCUGUUGGACUGAUCGCUGGUCCGUCACUCUCUGCUGUUUGUGGGUUUUUUCUAUCUACAGAAAACAAACAAGGAGCCUCACACUGAGAUGCAGCCAGUUUGAAAUGUCUGAGUUUUCCCAACUAAAGUCUAAAGUCUCUCCUGCUGCUCCUCAGAGUUCACACUACUUUCAGGGACGUCUUCACUAUUUUUUUUCAUUCUGUAGGAAAAUGUGAAGAUUUGAAAAGAUGCACAAAUGUUAGUUUUAAAAACACUGAAGUAGCAGCAUAGUUUCACAGUGAGUGGAUGUUCAGGUUGCAAACUGUAGGAUCAGAUAAUUGUGUACUGUACAUUAAAUGAUGCAUUUAAAGCAGUAUUUUUUAGAUGGGUGUAGUUAAGUGACCAAACAUGAAUAUAUUAAUACAGACAUACACUGGUGACCGUGCUUUAGGUUCAUUUAUUUAUAGAUGUCUGAGAAACAUAAUGAGAUAAAGAGUAGUAAAUAUUACGUCCCUUUCAAACAGGAAGUGGUUUAAUCUGGUCCACAGUGGGGUCAGAAUAUAAUAUUUGACAUUUACAAUCUGCAGAGUUUGAUGUGGUUUGUUUGUCAUGUUACUGAUUUUACUUCUGAUUCAUGUUAGUUUGUUUUAUGAGUUAAAAAUAAAACUGUUUCAUCAUUUGUUAGCUCAGUUUUUGUUCUUAAGACGUGCUGAAAAAUCCUAAUUAAAGUUGAAUUCACCCC